rnacentral:rRNA from 1 species
GACGAACGCUGGCGGCGUGCUUAACACAUGCAAGUCGAACGGAAAGGCCUCUUUCGGGGGGUACUCAAGUGGCGAACGGGUGAGUAACACGUGAGUAACCUGCCCUUGACUUUGGGAUAACUUCAGGAAACUGGGGCUAAUACCGGAUAGGAGCUCCUGCUGCAUGGUGGGGGUUGGAAAGUUUCGGCGGUUGGGGAUGGACUCGCGGCUUAUCAGCUUGUUGGUGGGGUAGUGGCUUACCAAGGCUUUGACGGGUAGCCGGCCUGAGAGGGUGACCGGCCACAUUGGGACUGAGAUACGGCCCAGACUCCUACGGGAGGCAGCAGUGGGGAAUAUUGCACAAUGGGUGGAAGCCUGAUGCAGCAACGCCGUGUGCGGGAUGACGGCCUUCGGGUUGUAAACCGCUUUCGCUCAUGACGAAGCUUUGUGUGACGGUAGUGGGUAAAGAAGCACCGGCUAACUACGUG